rnacentral:SRP_RNA from 2 species
GCUGGGCAUGGUGGUGCACGCCUGUAAUCCCAGCUACUCAGGAGGCUGAGGCAGGAGAAUCACUUGAACCCAGGAGGCAGAGGUUGCAGUGAGCCAAGAUCACGACACUGCACUCCAGCCUGGGUGACAGAGUGAAACUCUGUCUCAA